GGGAGCCAAGGGCUCCCUGGUUCAAAGGGCCGCAGCCCUAGGGGAUGCCCUCCUCGUGUGCCCUGGGGUGCAGAAGCAGACUGCAGGGCGGUGGGACCAGCCUGGGCCACGGGUGGAUGAAUUGUCACCAGGACUUCAGGCUCCAGAGGAGGAGAACUGGAUGAGAUGGAUGGGAUGCCUGAAAGACUGGAAAAUGAGGGCUCUGACUUGGAGUUGACCUGGGAGCUGGGGCAAGAGAUGUCCAUCAUGACGCAAGAAAACAUGCACUCGGGUAACUAAUGACAAGAACUUUAGAAGGACAACUCUCUGUAGACAAUCUGCAAAUUGAAGUGGCUUUGACAUGAGACUCAGAAGUUGUGGAUGGAGACAAGGGUGCCAGAAAGAGCCCUGAUGCUGGGAAGCACAGAGCAAAAGCAGGGACCAGCCAGGUUCUACUUCCGCUGGGGGAUGGUCAAAAUCAUUGUUCCUUAGAUCACUAGAAUUUGCAUAAAGCAUCUACAAGUUUUCACAAAGUU